CAGUAGUUCAUCAUCCGACUGCUCACUUUCCUGAUUCACCAGGGCAGCGUGGUCCUCCUCACAGAAAGCCUUUUCUGAUUUCUGAUCUGAGAAAGGCCAAUGGGAAAUAAAUAAUUGGAUGACUGACCGCUGGAUCAGGUCCUCUAUGCCUACCCAUCUCUAUCAUCUGGACUCCUACAUGAUACCACUGGAUAAAGGAGGAAAAUCCUUGGAUUCAGCUGUGCUUAUCUUUGAUUACACCAGUUGGGCUUAAAAAAAAAAAAAAAAA